AGUCGAGCGAAAGAAGGGAGCUUGCUCCCGGAUGUUAGCGGCGGACGGGUGAGUAACACGUGGGUAACCUGCCUGUAAGACUGGGAUAACUCCGGGAAACCGGAGCUAAUACCGGAUAGUUCCUUGAACCGCAUGGUUCAAGGAUGAAAGACGGUUUCGGCUGUCACUUACAGAUGGACCCGCGGCGCAUUAGCUAGUUGGUGGGGUAAUGGCUCACCAAGGCGACGAUGCGUAGCCGACCUGAGAGGGUGAUCGGCCACACUGGGACUGAGACACGGCCCAGACUCCUACGGGAGGCAGCAGUAGGGAAUCUUCCGCAAUGGACGAAAGUCUGACGGAGCAACGCCGCGUGAGUGAUGAAGGUUUUCGGAUCGUAAAGCUCUGUUGUUAGGGAAGAACAAGUGCGAGAGUAACUGCUCGCACCUUGACGGUACCUAACCAGAAAGCCACGGCUAACUACGUGCCAGCAGCCGCGGUAAUACGUAGGUGGCAAGCGUUGUCCGGAAUUAUUGGGCGUAAAGGGCUCGCAGGCGGUUUCUUAAGUCUGAUGUGAAAGCCCCCGGCUCAACCGGGGAGGGUCAUUGGAAACUGGGAAACUUGAGUG
rnacentral:rRNA from 1 species